rnacentral:ncRNA from 1 species
CUUAUUGAUGGCCCAACAAUAAAGUAUUUUGCAAGUAUGCACAACAUUUCAAACCCUUAUGUAAUUAGUACAUUGUUUUACCCCAUGAAUAAUGUCCG